rnacentral:lncRNA from 1 species
CUCUUUGACUCUUUUUACUCCAUCUCCAUUUUUCGGUGAGAUUCGUUCAUUCAUUGUCCAGUAGUCAACAAUGGCAAGUAGUUCUAACACAGAGCUUUCUCCGGUGACUCUGCUGGCGGUCGGUGGGUCUUCUGCAGUGGUGGGGGCCACCGAAUCAGCGGUGGCUGACAGGACCCUGUCGACAGUUGAUAUCCUUUCUCUGCCCAGGGGUCCGGCAACCGACUUCAUGAUGAGGGGGGAUCAGGUUAAUGACGCCCUGUUAAUGGGUGCGGUGGGCCUUGCCCAAUUAAGGAAGCAGUGGGGGAUUCCUCGUUAUGUUGACAUUUC